CAACUACUCCCUCUUUCCCAAAUUUCUUGUCUUAGAUUUGUCUAGAUACGGAUGUAUCUAAUACUAAAAUGUGACUUGAUACAUCCGUAUCUAGACAAAUCUAAGACAAGAAUUUUGGGACGGAGGGAGUACUUU
rnacentral:pre_miRNA from 1 species